ensembl:snRNA U6 U6 spliceosomal RNA
UUGCUUCAACAGCACAUAUGCUAAAAUUGGAAGGAUACAGAGAAGAUUAGCAUGGCCCUGUGCAAGGGUGAUAUGCAAAUUCGUGAAGGAUUCCAUAUAAAA